UUGACUCACUGUGCCUGUCAGAAGCCCCUUUAUACUGCUGGCAGCUGGCGUGCUAAGGAGUUUGUGCUUCGACAUUCCUGAAUUUCAACUGCCUUCAGAUCUGUGUAAUAAGGAAGCACUUCAAGGAUGAUAUGAAUUUGAGUCACAUGUCCAAAGGAGUCAUUCCAUUGCCCUUCUCUGAUUCAUCACCAUUCCAGUCGGGAAAGCUCAGGACCAAAAGUCAGGAGAUCCGGGUAGUAUUCCUGUCCCUGUUCCUGAUUUGCUGCAUGAUCUCUGAGUUCAUCUGACCAGGGUAAAAGCUAUAUUUGAUUAGAUUCUUUCCCCUGGACCGUAAUCAAGAUUCCACCAUCCACCUCCGAAUGGACCACAGCAUGCCUCCUCCAUCUCCUGAUCCUCCAAUUUCUGCUUGCUUGUCAUCUGAUGCCAAGAGUUCUGAAUCAGAUAUUCAGAGAAGACACAAGAGUGUUCAAAUACGAGUGAUAGACGUGGGUAUCAGAUACCCGAAUGAGUGGCACAAGACUUUUGCUAUGCUCCUCUAUGCUGGAUGCUCUUUGUUAUUAUCAUCUUCCGUCGUCCUUUUUUUCAACAACUGGUCCUCAGCAAAAUAUGUGAUCUCGCCAUUCCCAGAUCUAAUUUCCACAUAUAUUGGACAUGCUGACUGGGCUUUUAAAGCCUCUGAAGUCAGCAGCCUCAUGCUGUUAAUACUGUGGUCCAUCCAGUGGUUUUUACUCCGAUACAAGUAGGCAUUUCAUUGACAUCAAUAGUUGCUGAGCCCUUAAAUAGCUAUUUAACAUUAUCAAAGUGCCACCUUAAUUAAUCAAUUAAACCUCCCAAUCCCACUGCCAUGUAUGUAAGGAAGCAUCAAUCCCUGUUUUACAUAUGAGGACAGGGAAGGAGACGGAGAGAUUACGUGACUUGUGCAAAGCCAGACGGUGUAUCAGUGGCAAAGCCAGGAUUAGCUCCUUUGGGAGCUAGCCAGAGAAAAGGUGUGGCUAGGGCACCUGAGAGAUGCACUAAUUCAACAUUGCCCUACACAGCCUCCAGCAGCAAGGCACCUAUGGAAACACAACUACAAUUUAAAGCUACCCGCUCAAGGGAAAACUCUCAGGGAGAGCUCUGGUGCCAAUCUUAUUUGCCCUUCCUGUCACAUACAGCUUCCCUCACUGCUACAGGGCAGCAAACUAUACUCCCUUACACCAGCAGGCAGAAAAUCAAGCUUGUGAUGUCAAAGAAAACCUGUUUUGAUUGUAGCAGAUUUGCUAACCACCUCCUGAAAAUUUUGUUUGCAACCAACUUCUGUAAGAAUCCCAUACUCACCGUUUAGCUGCUUCUAGACGAGUGUGUUUGUAGCACUGGAGAUUGGAUCAUUUCAUAAUUUUCCCUCCAG